rnacentral:misc_RNA from 1 species
CUGAAGUGAGUCUUCAUUCAUUGAAGCUUCUUCCCAUUGUGCUGGCUUUGACCGUAUGUAAAGUUGGGGAUUAAACAUGGUUCAAAAUUUAUUUUGUAGCCGUCCCCAACAAUUUAUCUCAUCCUUUAUAAAUUUGAACUGAACAAUGAACAAAUGAUUUUAAUAAUCUGUUUAAAA